rnacentral:rRNA from 1 species
AGAGUUUGAUCAUGGCUCAGAUUGAACGCUGGCGGCAGGCUUAACACAUGCAAGUCGAACGGUAACAGGGAGAAGCUUGCUUCUUUGCUGACGAGUGGCGGACGGGUGAGUAAUGCUUGGGAAUCUGGCUUAUGGAGGGGGAUAACUACGGGAAACUGUAGCUAAUACCGCGUAAUAUCUUUGGAUUAAAGGGUGGGACUUUCGGGCCACCUGCCAUAAGAUGAGCCCAAGUGGGAUUAGGUAGUUGGUGGGGUAAAGGCCUACCAAGCCGACGAUCUCUAGCUGGUCUGAGAGGAUGACCAGCCACACUGGAACUGAGACACGGUCCAGACUCCUACGGGAGGCAGCAGUGGGGAAUAUUGCACAAUGGGGGGAACCCUGAUGCAGCCAUGCCGCGUGAAUGAAGAAGGCCUUCGGGUUGUAAAGUUCUUUCGGUGAUGAGGAAGGUGUUUGUUUUAAUAGAACAAGCAAUUGACGUUAGUCACAGAAGAAGCACCGGCUAACUCCGUGCCAGCAGCCGCGGUAAUACGGAGGGUGCGAGCGUUAAUCGGAAUGACUGGGCGUAAAGGGCACGCAGGCGGUGACUUAAGUGAGAUGUGAAAGCCCCGAGCUUAACUUGGGAAUUGCAUUUCAUACUGGGUCGCUAGAGUAUUUUAGGGAGGGGUAGAAUUCCACGUGUAGCGGUGAAAUGCGUAGAGAUGUGGAGGAAUGCCGAAGGCGAAGGCAGCCCCUUGGGAAUAUACUGACGCUCAUGUGCGAAAGCGUGGGGAGCAAACAGGAUUAGACACCCUGGUAGUCCACGCUGUAAACGCUGUCGAUUUGGGGAUUGGGCUUAGAGCUUGGUGCCCGUAGCUAACGUGUUAAA